AGGAGAAGAAGAUCAGAAGGAAGAGAAAGAAGAGAAGAAGGUGAAGCCUUCCAAGCAAAGUAGCCAGCAGCUAAGCGCGUUCUAAGUGCAUUGGCAGCCAUUUACAACGUCCAACAAAAGAGCUAUUGUAGGUCUGCAUACGCCGCGCGUCUGUGUAUGGCUCUGAAUGUGUGUUUGUAUGCCUGUGCGAAUUGCAGGCGAAAAACAAAAAAAAAAGCGAAACGUGAAACCAGUUACUUGUUGCAGUAGUAUUGAACCCUUCCGUGCAAAAAAUAAAUAAACAAACAAAACAAAAAGACAGCAGGUUAUUAAGCAAGGCAGCCAGCGGCAGGCCAGGCGGAAGGCAAGCGGUGAAUUUCGGAAAUUUGCAAGGCGCAAGCAACAAAAAGAGAAGCAAUAACAAGAAAACAAAGACUCAGAACCAGUCAGAAGCUAAAAGCUGUUUGUUGCUGAAGUCUGGAAAAAAAUAAAAUUAAAAAUUAAAAUAAGCAAUGAGUGGCCAACCACUGCAGUUUGAGUAGCAAGCAGCAAAACUAGCGGCAGUGUUGGCAGUGGAGCAAUAGUGGCAUUUGUGGCAGCGCGACAGCAACACCGUGCAAAUCCCAAACAGCGGAAAUCGAAACUCAAAUAGCGAGAAGAAGAAGCAGCAGCUGAAAAGUUUGACUUUCAACUUGGCGAAUGCGGAGUGCCGACGGUAAUCGGGCAAAGGAACAUUUUGGAUUUAGUUUGGUGAAUUGUGUGAAAAAGUGACGAUAUUUUAAAAGUUGAUGUGGAAUAAUACGUAUGUAAAACGCAAGGCGUAGCGAAUGAAAAAAUGCAUUUUUAAAUUUUAAAUCUGGCGUAAACUAGAAAAUUUUUGUAAAAAAUUCCACGUCAGCGGCGAAUUGUGGCAUUGUGCGGUAACUGUCAAGCGUAGCAGAAGCAGCAUGCGAAAACAAGUAAAAGUGUGAAAUAAAAAUUAAAAAUUUUUUAAAACGAUUUGCAAAUAGUUUUGAAGGACACAAUUUUAUAACGAAAAAUUCGAAUUUUUGAUAAUGGAAUUUUUAUGGGUAUAAAAUAGCGAACAUUAACAAAAAAAAUAUUUAACAAAAUUUUUGCCUAUUAGCGUAGAAAAUGUGCAGUAAUUUUUAUGCUGUUGCCGUUGUGUGUUUUUAAGCAAAAGUUUACAACAAAAAAUAUAUGCAAAAAAGUGAUUGAUGUGUGAAAUUUGAAAAAAAAAAAUUAUUAAAAGCAUUUUAAGUAAAGCGACUGCGAGUGUGGCGAAAAAAAGUAUUAAAUAGAAAAGCGCACGCAAAAAAAAA